rnacentral:rRNA from 1 species
UACGUAGGGUGCAAGCGUUGUCCGGAAUCAUUGGGCGUAAAGAGCGCGUAGGCGGCCAGAUAAGUCCGCUGUGAAAUCUCGAGGCUCAACUUCGAGCUGUCGGUGGAAACUGUCUGGCUAGAGUCCGGAAGAGGAGAAUGGAAUUCCUGGUGUAGCGGUGAAAUGCGCAGAUAUCAGGAAGAACACCCGUGGCGAAGGCGGUUCUCUGGGACGGUACUGACGCUGAGACGCGAAAGCGUGGGGAGCGAACAGG